UACUGAUUGAGAUUUUAACACGAAGUGAGUGGCGAACGGGUGAGUAACACGUGGGUAACCUGCCCAGAAGUAGGGGAUAACACCUGGAAACAGGUGCUAAUACCGUAUAACAACAAAAUCCGCAUGGAUCUUGUUUGAAAGGUGGCUUCGGCUAUCACUUCUGGAUGAUCCCGCGGCGUAUUAGUUAGUUGGUGAGGUAAAGGCUCACCAAGGCAGUGAUACGUAGCCGACCUGAGAGGGUAAUCGGCCACAUUGGGACUGAGACACGGCCCAGACUCC
rnacentral:rRNA from 1 species